CAGGCGCCGUGAGGAAGAAAUGCGGCGGCAACAAGAAGAAAUGAUGCGGCGACAGCAGGAAGGAUUCAAGGGAACCUUCCCUGAUGCGAGAGAACAAGAGAUACGGAUGGGCCAAAUGGCUAUGGGAGGUGCUAUGGGCAUAAACAAUAGAGGUGCCAUGCCCCCUGCUCCUGUGCCAACUGGGACCCCAGCUCCUCCAGGACCUGCCACUAUGA